AGCAGUAGUAGUUGACGUCAUGGCUCAGGACGAACGCUGGCGGCGUGCCUAACACAUGCAAGUCGAACGAGUCCGACCCUUUCGGGGGUGAGGCGAGUGGCGGACGGGUGAGUAACACGUGAGCAACCCUAUCCCCUGGUGCGGGGGGACAACCCGGGGGAAACCCGGGCUAAUACCGCAUGGGCGGGACCUUCGAGUGGAGGACCUGGGAAAGACGGCCUCUUUACAAUGCUGUCGUGCAGGGAGGGGCUCGCGGGCUAUCAGCUAGUUGGUGAGGUAACGGCUCACCAAGGCAGCGACGGCUAGGGGGUCUGAGAGGACGACCCCCCCACAUUGGAACUAAGACACGGUCCAGACUCCUACGGGAGGCAGCAGUGGGGAAUAUUGCGCAAUGGACGAAAGUCUGACGCAGCGACGCCGCGUGUGGGAGGAAGCCUUUCGGGGGUGUAAACCACUGUCAGGAGGGAAGAAACUCGCCGGCCCGAACAGGAACGGCGAUUGACGGUACCUCCAAAGGAAGCACCGGCUAACUCUGUGCCAGCCGCCGCGGUAAUAC
rnacentral:rRNA from 1 species